UCGCUUUGGCAGCACAUAUACUAAAAUUGGAAUGAUACACAGAAGAUUAGCAUGGUCCCUAUGCAAGGAUGACACGCAAAUUUGUGAAGUGUUCCAUAUUAAA
rnacentral:snRNA from 1 species